rnacentral:lncRNA from 10 species
GCCUGGGAUUUGUAUGAAUAAGUAUCAUGAGCCUCAAAUUUGUAGACCAAAGAAUUGGGCUAUUAAUGGGGCUUGGCAAGGAGGAGAUAAACGUGUUUCUGUGUGAUAUCACAGCUGUAUGUUGACUGUCAAGGAAUCAAAAACAUCUGGAUGGCUGGCUGAUUUGCUGGUUCAUUGGAAUCCUGACCAGAUGUUUGGUAUCAUGUCGACAGGGCUGAGGCUUCAAGUCCACACCUCCUGGCCACGCCUUCUGUAGAGGGAAGAGUGAUUGCUGUGUAGAGGUUCACGUGAGACGAUGCACCUGCACUGGACAAUGGUUCCCCAGUACUGACCGCUGCAGUGUGUCCAGAGCAAAGCCUUUCAGGUCUGUGCGGCCAGCCAGAUGGCCAGGCUUUCAGCAGGGCCGAUCCCCCCAGCACCUGUGAGGUGCCGAGCUGCCGACGUGCAGCCCUCUUCUCCUUGGAGCCACUGCCCUGAGGACCAGGUGGGGUAGACCAGAACUCUGCACUCUGUCUAAACUCAACCUCUGAGGAGCCUGCCAAUUUCAGGACCAUGCUUCCAUUUUACACAUGAGCAUAAAAGUUGUAAAUAUCUCCAGUUAGUUCUAGAAUAGAAAGCACAGACUCCUCCGGAUAUGUGUGCUGAACUUUGAAAACAAUUGGCCUGUGAAGGAAACCAAUUCUCUCCCCAACUCUAAAGGUGGCUCUGGCCUCAGGGACCCACCCUCUCAUUUUACAGAUGAAGAAACUGAUGCCCCAGAGAUGGAGGGUCUUGUUCUUUCACUGGGAUCAGAUAAAAGACCAGAAUCCAAGGUUCUCGUCAUGCAACAGGAUUUGUCAUUGAUUUGCAUUGAUUUCUGC